rnacentral:rRNA from 1 species
UACGUAGGGAGCAAGCGUUGUCCGGAAUCAUUGGGCGUAAAGCGCGCGUAGGCGGCCUCAUAAGUCCGUUGUGAAAGUCAAAGGCUCAACCUUUGAAAGCCGAUGGAUACUGUGAGGCUAGAGUCCGGAAGAGGCGAGUGGAAUUCCUGGUGUAGCGGUGGAAAUGCGCAGAUAUCAGGAGGAACACCGGUGGCGAAGGCGGUUCUCUGGGCAUUACCUGACGCUGAGGAGCGAAAGUGUGGGGAGCGAACAGG